GACGAACGCUGGCGGCGUGCUUAACACAUGCAAGUCGAACGAAGUGGCGAACGGGUGAGUAACGCGUAAUCAACCUGCCCUUCAGAGGGGGACAACAGUUGGAAACGACUGCUAAUACCGCAUACUGAAGGAGGGGAUUGCGUGUGAUUGGCUAGUGGGGGGGGUAACGGCCCACCAAGGCGAGGAUCAGUAGCCGGUCUGAGAGGAUGAACGGCCACAUUGGGACUGAGACACGGCCCAGACUCCUACGGGAGGCAGCAGUAGGGAAUCUUCGGCAAUGGACGAAAGUCUGACCGAGCAACGCCGCGGGAGUGAAGAAGGUUUUCGGAUCGUAAGACUCUGUUGUUAGGAAAGCGGUAUCUAACCAGAAAGCCACGGCUAACUACGUGCCAGCAGCCGCGGUAAUAC
rnacentral:rRNA from 1 species